CAGACUUAUUUACAAAAAGAUCUCAGGUAGGAGAGUGAGAGUGAAAAUUGCAAGGCACCUGGAGACCUAGACUUAGUAGUUGUGUGAAAUUACUUCCAUUUCAUUUGACUGGUCAAAGCAAGACAAGGCCAGGGCAGAUUCAAGAGGAGGUGGAAAUGGACUCCAGUUCUUGAUGGGAGAAGCAGCAAAGUCAGGAAGCAAAAGGACAUGAAUAGAAAGGCAAACAAGCUGAGAGUUUAAGUGAUUUACCCUUCCUGAAAGAGGAGGUCAUGAACAGAAUUCCAGGAUUUGGACCUGUACAAAUGCCAUUAAGGCAAUUUUUCAGGGACUUAGCAAAUACCCA
rnacentral:lncRNA from 1 species